rnacentral:tRNA from 1 species
GGAGAAAUGUCUGAGUGGCUUAAAGAGCUCGAUUGCUAAUUGAGUGUAUUUCAAAAAAAUACCAAGGGUUCGAAUCCCUUUUUCUCCU